rnacentral:lncRNA from 1 species
UCAAAUUCACACCAUUAAAAGGGAGAUGAUAUGAAGAAUAGCAAGCAGGAGCUGUGAAAUGAAAGCAACCUAGUUGUAGAGAUCAGGAUUUGCCAAGAGGUAAGCUUCAACAGCCUUAUACAUUCCGGACGCCCUUUCUUUGCCAGCCUUAAUUUGCUCUUCAUUGAUCUCAAUUUCACCAAUGGUGUAAUACUUGCUGGUGCUCUUGCAAAUUGAUCCUCCAUCUGGUGCUGCCACAAACUUGGUCUCAUAACUGAUUUUCUCAAGUGUGUUCAUCAAAGCAUCUCCUUCGAUCACACUAUAACUGUAUGAGAAGUUCUCCUUGUCUAUUCCUUCAACCUUUUGUUUCACAUACUUGAAUUGGCUGCCUACAUUUGUUACCAAGCAAAAAUCUUACAUACUAUUAUAUUUCUCAAAAUUAGAAAAUGGAAAGGAAUUCAUGUGGCAAGAAAUGGAAACUAACCUUCACCAAAAGUAAUCUUCUUGAUACUUCCGGGCCCACCAUCUCCUUCAACAAGCUCAGAACUCUUGAUUGCUUGUGGCACAACCUUGGGGAAAAGAUUGUCACCGUCAAGAACAAAGGCCUUGAACAUCUUGGCUGGGGGGAUUGAGGUAGCUACCUCCAUUUCAUACGUGACAACACCCAUGAUUCUACAAUAGGAGUUUGAAAAUGUUCAAAUUGGAGGAAGAUAAAAACAGAGAGAAAAAGAGGAUGAUUAACUGAGUAUUUUGAGAUGUGGGAAGAAGCGAGAACUAAGAUGGUAUUUAUAGUUGCUGUACUUUCAAAGAAUUUGCAGUGGUCAAAAAAAGCACCCUGCAUGAGAAUUUCCAUGGUAAAUGGCUAAUUGAUCAUUUUAAAAUGUUGUACCAACCUAUAGGAGCAAAAAAAAAAAAUCAUUUGACCAUUUUGUUAAUAGAUGGUGCCAUGGGGCCUUUUGGCAUGUAUACGGACUGCAAAAUUUCAAUAUAAUAACAGCAAAGUGGAUUUCAGAAGGCAGCAACAAUUUGACAAAAUUAAGUUGUGAAGAUGAAGGCGCCUUUGGUUGACUAACGACUUAAUUAUCGUAAGUGAGAAAAGAAAGACCAAAAGAUAUAAAAAAAUAAAUAUAAUAUUAUAUAUAUAUUUAUUCUAUCAAAUUAAAGCUCGAGAAGACUUGGUGGACUAUCUAGAAAGCAAGUGAAAGAAGUAAUAGGUAUUUGGAAUACAUGUACCCGUGACUUUUUUAAAAUAUACGAAAAUAAAAUAAAAAUUUUUUUAUUUUUAUUUUGCAUAUUUAAAUAUUUUUUAUAAAUAUAUCUUUUUUAAACAUAAAUACAUUAAUUUUAAUAAAUCUAAAAUAAAUUUUAUAUUAUUAAAUAAAAAAAUUAGUUUAUUAAAUAUAUAUAAAUUACAAGUAUAAAAUCAAUAUUAUAUUAUCCAUCUUUAUACCCGUAUUCGAUAAAAAAAUUUAAAUCAUAUACAUUCUUAUCCCUUCCUUAAAAUUUAAUAUCUUGAAUUUAAAGAAGAUUUGACAUCCCUUUUUACCUCCAAUUAAAUUUUUAUAACCUUGAACUUCACUGUUGGGUAUUCGGAACAUCUUGAUUACUACCAUUUCUCAUUGGUUGGAUGAAUUAUGGCUAUUUUUUGUACUUGGGUUUUCUGCACAUGAGCCAUAAGUGAACUGCCAGACGACCCUGCUUUGAAACUUCUCUUUAUCUACAUGUUUGGCAAUUCUUGGAAUUUGAAAUUUUCCCAAUGUUAUAUCAUUUCAUCAAAAAAAUAAAAUAAAAUAAAAUUUCUCUAUACUAUCUGAUGUCACUAUGUCAGCAUCCUUUUGGAAAAUGGUAGUGGCAUUCAUCAUAUCAAUUACCCAAAAUUUUACUAUAAACCCUUUUCUUUAAAAACGUGGGGAAGCCUUUGUGGAUUUAAAUUUCCAUAAUAAUUUGUCUUCCAGGUUGCAUCAAGGACUAUGUGUCAGAAUAAGUUUCAUAUUUCUUCUGAAACUUGACUUUGUUAUGUUCAAUAUAUAAUUAGUAAAUCUUGAAAGACGAAGAUGCUGGACUCAUCAUUUUCAAUGGAUGGCUUGAUCUCACAACAAUUUAUUAAUGCAGUUGACAUUUACAGUUCAAGCUUGCAGGUAAUCUCAGACAAACUAUGAACUCUUACUAGCAAUCUGAAGGCCAUAUCAUAUGGACUGACUAACAACUACAAAAAAAAAAAAUGUAAAAAAGAAAAGGCAAUUCUCUCUCACUCAAAGCACACAUAUGUUCCACACUGUCUGAUCAUUGAAGUGGAUGCUAUUUCAAUAAUGGGAUUUUUAAUAGGCAUCUGGAUUUGCUAGGAGGUAGGCUUCAAUAGCUUUGAACAAUCCCAAAGCCUUUUCUUUGCCUGCCUUGAUUCCCUCUUCCUUGAUCUCAAAGUCACCAAUGGUGUAAUAUUUACUAGUAGUCUUACACACGGAUCCCCCAGCUGCAGAGGGCUCUAACUUAUAAAAGGGUUUUGAAGUUAGAUUCACUUGCAGCUUUUAGCCACACGUGAAUCAAAGACCCUGCUUCAUUGCAUACUUUCACUGUUCACAUGUGCAUAUUGUUUAUCAGCUCUCAUAGACAGUUGUGGACUUGGUCUCACAGCUGAUAUCAAGUUAUUAGGUGGAAAUUUUAGGCAACAAAUGUCAAAUUCUUUAUCUGACUUUAGGUUCAGAUCUUGGAAAUAGAAGGGAUUUGGAUUUCGUCAUCAAUCCUGAUUCAGGUCAAAAAAUUUAUGACAAAAAAAAAAAGAAAUUACAAAUAAUAAAAGCUUGAUUACCAUAUAUUUUUCAUUUCAUAUAUCAAAUAUGAUACAACUCAAACUUCUUAAUUAUGUAAUGAAAACACAGAUGAUCACGGCAAGAGACCACCACUCUUAUUAGCCAUUGAAGGAAAGUUUGGCAAAAAGCAAACAAGAAAAAUCAAAAUCACACCAUUAAAAGGGAUAUGAUAUGAAGAACAGCAAGCAGGAGCUGUGAAAUGAAAGCAACCUAGUUGUAGAGAUCAGGAUUUGCCAAGAGGUAAGCUUCAACAGCCUUGUACAUUCCUGACGCCCUUUCUUUGCCAGCCUUAAUUUGCUCUCUUUCAUUGAUCUCAAUGUCACCAAUGGUAUUAAUACUUGCUGGUGCUCUUGCAAAUUGAUCCUCCAUCCUGGUGCUGCCACAAACUUGGUCUCAUAACUGAUUUUCUCAAGUGUGUCAUUCAAAGCAUCUCCUUCGAUCAACACUGUAACUGUAUGAGAAGUUCUCCUUGCUAUUCCUUCAACCUUUUGUUUCACAUACUUGAAUUGGCUUGCCUACAUUUGUUACCAAGCCAAAACUUACAUACUAUUGUAUUUCUCAAAUUAGAAAAUGGAAAGGAAUUUCAUGUGGCAAGAAAUAAACUAACCUUCACCAAAAGUAAUCUUCUUUGAUACUUCCGGGCCCACCAAUCUCCUUCAAGGAGCUCAGAGCUCUGAUUAGCUUGUGCACAACCUUGGGGAAAAUGUUUAUCCACCGUCAAGAACCAAAGGCCUUGAACAAUCUGAACUGGGGGGAUUGAGGUAGCUACCUCCAUUUCAUAAGUGACAACACCCAUGAUUCUACACUAGGAGUUUGAAAAUAUCAAAUUUAAGAAGAUAAAACAGAGAGAAAAAAAGGAUGAUUAACUGAGUGUUUGAGGUGUGGGAAGAAGUGAUUUCUAAGAUGGUAUUUAUUUUUGCUAUACUUUCAAAGAAUUUGAGGUGGUCAAAAAAAUCACCCUGCAUAAGUGAGAAAAGAAAGACCAAAAGAAAUAAAUAAAUAAAUAUAUUUACAAAAAACCAGAAUCCCUUCCCAAGCCCUGUCAAACUAAAGCUUGAGAAGACAUGGUGGACUAUCUAGAAAGCAAGCAGUGAAAGAGGCAAUUGCUGAGAAAAUUUCAAUGUGAACAUAGAGUAUGCAAUAUACAUGUUUUUCAAACUCUUUUUUUAUAAAUAAUAUUUUUCAAACUCAUAUAAAGUUUACAUAUUUUUUUUUAUGUUUCCUUGUGUUUUCCCUUUUCCCUUCUGGUACCAGCUCUUCCUUAUAGUAGCUAAAGAAAAAAAUUUCCCCAAACUAUGUUAUUUGGAUUCAGAGUAAAUAUUAAAUAUAGAUAUGUGUCCGACGUGAAUACGUAUAAUGUUUUUUUUAAGUUUUUUCGUACAGUUGAAGGGUCGACGAAAUAUGUGUCAAACAUAUAUACAUCAAAGAAAAUAAAAAGUCACAGCAACGUAUUCCACAAAUACAAGUCUCCACUGCUUUUAUUCAAUAAAAAACAUUAUGUCAUCCAUACUAGGCUGAACUCAAACAGGUCACCCACAGACCAUAUGUCUAGAAGAGAAAGAAAGUCACAUGAUGAGAAAGUCCCUUAGAACACUGGCAAUCCAUCUUAAAUUCUUCAUUAUGCACUCAUUUUCUUGAUAAGACAGUCUGGUGGGGUAGUGAUCCAUAGUGGGGAAUAAACUUAUAAGCAAGUUGCAGGAAAGAUACAAAAUUAGUACUAUUUUAUUUGCUAACACCAUUUCUAAAUAUAAUACUUCAGCAUAAGUCGAAUUCUACAUGUUUUUCACCCAAAGAUUGACUUUAUUUUAUCAUAAUAGUGCGGUAAAUGUGUUGGCUUCUAGACGCCAGACUUGCAUAGUUUUGCUCUAAACAGGUCAUAUCAGGUCAUCAUCUGUCGACUGUAGAAGGCUGAGACCAGGAUGAUCUUACUGUUUAUUGGGGAGAGAAAAUGACAUUAAAGAAAUUCUUUGAUAUCAUAUCACACUGAGCAAAGCAUGGAGUUUCAGGCUUUCAGCUGUACCAAAAAGAAACAUUACCAUCAAAGACAUAGCAGCCUUCAGCCAUACAACCUGAUGCAAUCUAAUUACAUAGGCAUCAGAAUAUUCCAAGAGGUAAGCUUCAAUAGCUUUCGACAUUCCCAUGGCAAUUUUCUUUUCGAGCCUUGAUUUCCUCUUCAUUGAUAUCAAUGUCACCAAUGGUAUGGUAACAUCUUUGAUCACAGUGUUGCUGUAGGUGAAUUUCAUCAAUCCUCUGCUUUGUGUAUUUGACCUGACUGCCUGCAAC